UCGACAAAGCAGUUCCAUUGCCACGCUCUC
rnacentral:piRNA from 1 species